rnacentral:rRNA from 1 species
GUGGGGAAUUUUGGACAAUGGGCGCAAGCCUGAUCCAGCCAUUCCGCGUGCAGGAUGAAGGCCUUCGGGUUGUAAACUGCUUUUGUACGGAACGAAAAGCCCCUGGUUAAUACCCGGGGGUCAUGACGGUACCGUAAGAAUAAGCACCGGCUAACUACGUGCCAGCAGCCGCGGUAAUACGUAGGGUGCGAGCGUUAAUCGGAAUUACUGGGCGUAAAGCGUGCACAGGCGGUGAUGUAAGACAGUUGUGAAAUCCCCGGGCUCAACCUGGGAACUGCAUCUGUGACUGCAUUGCGGGAGUGCGGCAGAGGGGGAUGGAAUUCCGCGUGUAGCAGUGAAAUGCGUAGAUAUGCGGAGGAACACCGAUGGCGAAGGCAAUCCCCUGGGCCUGCACUGACGCUCAUGCACGAAAGCGUGGGGAGCAAACAGGAUUAGAUACCCCAGUAGUCC